GACAGAGGUGCCGAGCGUUAGGCGGAAUCACUGGGCUUAAAGCGUGUGUAGGCGGACCCGUAAGUACCUUGUGAAAUCCCACGGCUCAACCGUGGAACGGCUGGGUAUACUGCGGGUCUUGAGCGGCCUAGGGGCAGACGGAACAAGUGGUGGAGCGGUGAAAUGCGUAGAUAUCACUUGGAACGCCGACGGUGAAAACAGUCUGCUGGGGGCCUGCUGACGCUGAGACACGAAAGCCAGGGGAGCGAACGGG
rnacentral:rRNA from 1 species